rnacentral:rRNA from 1 species
ACUUUAAAUCUUCGGAAUUGUAGUCUGGAGAAGCUAAGCCAGCAAUGUGUACUUUGUUAAGUCUCCUGGAACGGAGCACCAAUGAGGGUGAUAGUCCCGUGCAUACAAAGAACCCAUUGUGUACGGCUGGUUUUCGACGAGUCGAGUUGCUUGGGAUUGCAGCUCUAAGUGGGUGGUAAAUUCCAUCUAAAGCUAAAUAUUGGUGGGAGACCGAUAGCAAACAAGUACCGUGAGGGAAAGAUGAAAAGAACUUUGAAAAGAGAGUUAAAGAGUACCUGAAAUUGCUGAAAUGGAACCGAUGGGAGGCAGUGUUGGCAGAUUACUAUUUCUUGUAUUCCGCUUGCGGGGUAUAGCCUAUAGUAAUCUGCAAGUCUUGCUUACUUGAUUGUGUGCGAAAAACCUCAAAACUGUAUGUGUUGAGAGCAUUAGCAUGCAAUCGAGUGACUAAGACGAAAUGCCUCUCAUCAUCCCGUCUUGAAACACGGACCAAGGAGUCUAACAUGUUUGCGAGUGCUCGGAGUUCAUCUCCCAGCGCGGAAUUAAUGUAAAUGUGAACCUAGUUCACUGAGGUAGAAUGCUUAGGCUGCACUAUCGACCGACCAUGCUCCUACGGGAAAAAGGUUUGAGUGUGAGCAUACAUGUUGGGACCCGAAAGAUGGUGAACUAUGCUUGAGUAGGACGAAGCCAGGGGAAACUCUGGUGGAGGUCCGCCGCGAUUCU